rnacentral:lncRNA from 1 species
AAGCAGUAGAGGGAGUACAAUCCAAAACUGAAGGAUUGGGCCUAUGGCCCAAUCGAUCCAGCAAUGCAGCAACGGGAAUUUACAUUCCCUGGGUUCGUCUUCCUACGAACAUCAUUCUCCCAUUAGAAAGAAAACAUGGCCGACGCACAUCAAACGACUCUGUCAUGCAAGAGCUCAUCAUCGGCGGCGACGAAGCUUCCACUCGCCUCGCGCUCACCUCGCUAUCACCAACUCAAACUCUCGACUCCCGAAUC